GCCUCACAAGUCACAUCCGUACAGUAUUCUUGUAACCUUUCUUCGUCGGAAUGAGUUACAGUUUGAAGUAAGAAAAUGGCACAAAUUAAAUCACAUGAUCAGAGAAAGCCGUUGGAGUGGUGGAAGCUGAUUGGUCGGUGUACAGUGUCAUGUAUCAGUGUCUUGCUUUCUCAAUUUGCUCUCUCUUUGGUCCCUCGCUUCUUCUCUGCUUCCCCACUUAUCAUCCAACUCAUUCUCUCAGCUCUGGUGUUGUUAGUGGUUGUGGGUUUGGGGAGAUGUAGUAAAAGGCUUCUUGGAGUUUCUGGGUCAGCUUCGGCUUUUGUUUUCUUCAAUAUACUCUUCAUUUGGGCUGUUUAUUUAGCUGUUCUUAGACCAGCUGUAUUAUGUCUAAUGGAUAUUGCAUUUAACGGAGCAAUCACCAUGCUCAUCAUUGGGCUGUGUAGUAUCAUUUCAAGCAAUCCUGGUUUGGUAACAUAUGGGUCUUCAGAUGAACUUGUUGAAAGUUCAGUUGCUGAAGUUGAAGCUCAUAAUCGGAUACUGGAGCCAUCGGCAAGUGUCUUAUGUCAUGAAUACCCAACUGAAGGUUCUGUUUUGGGCAGGAGGGUAAGAUAUUGCAGAAUCUGCAAGGGAUACAUAAAGGGAUUCGAUCACCACUGUCCUGCUUUUGGGAACUGCAUAGGCCAAAACAAUCAUGUCCUCUUCAUGGUUCUUUUAGUUGGAUUUCUUUCUACUGAAGCUUCUUACGUAGCAUGUUCGUCCCAAUUUGCCGCAAAAUCCCAGAUUGUAGAUAAAACCAGAUUGGAGACUAGUCUGUCUGGAAAUCUGGCCAUUAGCACAAUGCUGUUCUCCAUUUUCCAAUUGCUAUGGCAGGCAGUGUUUAUGACGUGGCAUAUAUAUUGUAUAUGUUUCAACAUCAGAACAGAUGAAUGGAUAAACUGGAAGAAGUAUCCAGAGUUCCAAGAUGUUGUUCAUUCUCAACAAGGACCCUUACAUGUUAGACCCAAUGCUCAUGCCAGUUGGGAUCCCCAUAUUGUUCAACUAAAUGUGGAAGCUUCUAGUAGAGUGGCCCUCUUGGACUAGUCAAUUUAGCUUAUUCUAGUGUUUGUGGAGGCAAUCAGUUUACCAGUAUGGACAUGGUUUUGGCAUGACUACAUUGCAAUCUAUAAGACUAAACAAAGGGAAGGAGACCAAUCCGUGGAACAUCCUACUUGAGCAUGAUCCAGCACCUACCUAUUGAGUAACCAAUGUCCGAGCGGCUUAGAUGGGAAACGGAGGGACCUCAGACACUCCAUCAGGUGGGUUCAGACUGUUCAGUUAUAGUUUAACCUGAGUCUCAGUUUGUUUAAUUUCCGUUUAUUUUGUUAAAACUGAAAACUUUAAAAAAUUAGCUGAAAUAAUAUAACGAGACGCAUGAAUAGUAUUAAAAAGUGUAAUAGGACCUAUAAAUAGUUACAAAAAUAAGCUAAAUAGUAAAAUAAGUUGCUCCAAAUAAUCUUUUGCUGGAUGAGGUCUAACUCUCAUAUUUUUGCCGAAGAAGAAAAAAGAAACCUAAACGAUUAGAAUAGAACUUUCCAGAGUAGAAACAAAUCAUCAAUUAAGAUGGUCAUGAAACACAAAUGAAAUAGGUUUUAGCUAAAACCCCAUAAAGCACAUACAUAGCCCAGCACUUCUACCAUUUUUAACACAAAAAAACAACCCACGUUACUCAAAACCCAUAAUUUACAUAUCUACAUAGCUUAGCAAUUCUCCCUUGAUUUCUGAAAAUCAAAAUGAACCGUUGGAGAAUCUCCUAGUCAUGUUAGAUUUGGCUGCUAAGGCAACUCCUCAAGUACCUUAUUCCCAAGGAAAACAUCUGUAAGAACUGUGGUAGAGUCAAAUGAAGCCCUUACCAGCUCCAAGCCCUGAGUUCGAACACAUUCAAACCAGAUCAAUCACAUAUAUAAGCAGUUGAAAAUAAAAUUUAAACAACAUUUUGACUAGUAUCAUGUAAAAGAAAGCAAGAAAGGCUCUUUGAUAAAACCUUCUUCAUGUCAACCUCAACCUCCUUCUCCUGGAGGGAACUAAUAUCUUUGAUGUUUAAAUCGUUUAGAAGCGAAAUGCUAGAAAUGGUUGACAUGGGUUUCACCAUUAGAUCAUCCAUCACCAUAUAUACCACCGCACCUCUAACAUACCCUGUAUCCUUGUGUUGAGCCACCACUUUUUCCUGAGAGUAACCAAAUGAAUACGGGCUUCGCCCAACCGUAUCUUGUGAUCUUGAGAAAGCAGAACAGGGUGGAGGUGGAGAGGUAAAGUAGGAAGAGGUUGAACCAAAUACACAAUUAGAUGUUUUUUGUGCUUCAGUGCUGGUCAUUUGGUUUGGUGGUACAAAGUUCAGCAACAACUGGUAUAAGUGGCUGAUGAGAAGGCUGGGUUAGGCCUCAAGAGAGAAUCCUUGGUUAGGUUUGGUUGAACAUAGCAAGGGUCAAGGUUUUGGAUACUCUCAUAGACUUUACUCAAAGACCCUGACCCUGAAGCCAUGCCAUGAUUCCAAAGAAGUUCCAUUAUGGAACCAAGAGGUAUCUGUAGAAGUCCAAAGAGAAGUCCACAAAUUCCUUCCUGGCUUCUGCAUGCACCACCUUGUUAGAGCUGUUGUCUACAAGAAGGUUCAAGGUUAUAGUUUUGCUGCUCUUGGUAUUGGUAUUGGGUUCUGAUGCGUACAUCUUGUUGAUUAUGGGUUUUCUUUUUCUUUCUUUUUUACCUCAGCGUCCUGGUCUCUAUGGCCUAGUUAGGAGCGCAUAUGGAUGGAGGAUAUAUAGAUGCGGAGAAAAGAGAUUUAAGAGUGUAAGACUAUUGAUUACGAUAGCACGUGAUGCUGCAGCAAUGGAUAGGGUUAUACUUUAUAGUUCCUACGUGCCUAGCUACGUUGCAUCAGCUGUGCUACUCUUCUGCAAAGUCCUACGUUGAGUUUGACAGGAAAUUCAAAGGACAAAUACCCUCGUGGUUCCUCAAAUGGUGGGAAAUGUUUGGAUCAAUUCCACAGAACUUCCCAGAACCUCUACAGGAUGCACUAAGGUAUUUUAGCUCCAGAUUCCAGCAAACGAUGAUUGUGAAAGUGGAAGCAAGGAUGACUAUAGACUUCACCAAUGAAGGUGGAGGUUGGCAACAAUGGUGAUGGAGAUUUGAGGUUGUUUGGGUACAGGGAAGAAUGUGAGAUUUGUUUGGGUUUGAUAUGUUGGAUUCUAAUGUGUUAUUUAUUUAUUUACUUAUUUUUAGCUGA